CUUUGGGAGGCUGAGGCAGGCGGAUCACUUGAGGUCAGGAGUUCGAGACCAGCCUGGCCAACAUGGUAAAAUCCCGUCCCUACUAAAAAUACAAAAAUUGCUGGGCGGGGUGGCACGUGCCUGUAAUCUCAGCUACUCGGGAGGCUGAGGCAGGAGAAUCGCUUGAACCUGGGAGGCGGAGGUUGCAGCGAGCCGAGAUGGUGCUACUGCACUCCAGCCUGGGUGACAGAGCAAGAUGCUGUCUCAAAAAACAACAACAACAAAAUCUACACUAUAGCACGCUACAUACCCUAUACUACAUCUGCAAAAACUUAAAAUCCUUCUCACCUGAAUGCUUAGUAUCCCCCUAUACUCAUACAUGGUCCUCAGCCAAUCAUACCUGAGACACAGACCAGAUGUCUGUUACCCAUUCUCCUUAGGACAGAUUGUAUUUUGAACCAGACCUGAUAUUUCUCCCUUAAGAAUAAUGUAUACUUACUGUGAGCCUUUACCUCAUUCUCUCUCCCCUCACAAGAAUACCUCAAGUAUGAUCAUCCUUUUUCUGCUGAGGAAACCGUAACUUGAAGGAACUUGAUGAGGCUCACAGAGCUUGUAAGCAGUGGGAUUGAGAUCUGAACUAGGUCUGUGAGACUCCUAAUGCUUUUUCUUUGUUUGCUUUUUAUUUUUCUUUUAUUAUUAUUUUAUUUUUCUGAUCCAGUCAACUCAGAACGCUUGUUUUCUCACACUGUGCUUUCUGGGGCCUUCCCUCGAGAUUCGCUCAGGGACUCAGCUGCGGUUCUAGCCUGGCCUUGCUUGGGUCGGCUUCAGCUAGGGCAGCGCUGCUUUGGUCUGUUUCGUUUACGACUUCUUUCUUUUUUUUUUUUCCUUCUUUUUUUUUUUUUUUUUGAGAUGGAGUCUCGCUUUGUUGCCCAGGCUGGAGUGCAGUGGUAUGAUCUCGGCUCACUGCAACCUCCACCUCCAGGGUUCAAGCUAUUCUCCUGCCUC
rnacentral:lncRNA from 1 species